GUUCCUUGCCAAUGUAGAAAGGUGGGGGGUGGUCAUCACAGUGCUUGUCCUCUGGCAGGCAAACUAUCCCACUAAGAUCUCUUCUACCCUUUAUGUGCUGCUUGUCCUUUUCACUCAAUUCUCCUCUCCUCCUCUUCUCUGGCUAUUCUUCACUUUCAAAAGUAAAAGCUGCUAUAUUACUUUCCAUUUUUUUUUCUUCCUUUCUUU
rnacentral:misc_RNA from 1 species